rnacentral:rRNA from 1 species
UACGAAGGGGGCUAGCGUUGUUCGGAAUUACUGGGCGUAAAGCGCGCGUAGGCGGACUGGCCAGUCAGGGGUGAAAUCCCGGGGCUUAACCUCGGAACUGCCUUUGAUACUGCCAGUCUCGAGUCCGGAAGAGGUGAGUGGAAUUCCUAGUGUAGAGGUGAAAUUCGUAGAUAUUAGGAAGAACACCGGUGGCGAAGGCGGCUCACUGGUCCGGUACUGACGCUGAGGCGCGAAAGCGUGGGGAGCAAACAGG